GCUUGUCUCAAAGAUUAAGCCAUGCAUGUAUAAGUAUAAACGCUCUGAAGCGUGAAACCGCGAACGGCUCAUUACAACAGCUAUAAUUUACUUGAUCUUGAUAUCCUACUUGGAUAACUGUGGUAAUUCUAGAGCUAAUACAUGCACUAAAGCUCCAACCCGUAAGGGAAGAGCGCAUUUAUUAGAACAAAACCAUGCGGCUUCGGCCGCUCAAUGUUGACUCAGAAUAACUAAGCUGAUCGCAUGGUCUUGUACCGGCGACGUGUCUUUCAAGUAUCUGCCUUAUCAACUUUCGAUGGUACUGUCAUUGACUACCAUGGUGGUGACGGGUAACGGAGGAUCAGGGUUCGACUCCGGAGAAGGGGCCUGAGAAAUGGCCACUACGUCUAAGGAUGGCAGCAGGCGCGCAAAUUACCCACUCUCAGAACAAUUUGAGGAGGUAGUGACGAGAAAUAACGAGGCCGUUCUCAACAGAGGCCGGUCAUCGGAAUGGGUACAAUUUAAACCCUUUAACGAGUAUCUAUGAGAGGGCAAGUCUGGUGCCAGCAGCCGCGGUAAUUCCAGCUCUCAAAAUGCAUAGAAUUAUUGCUGCGGUUAAAAAGCUCGUAGUUGGAUCUGUGCCGACAGACUGGUCCAUCUUCGGAUGCGUACUGGUUAUUGUCGGCUUUCCUGCAGUUUUGCGGCUCAGUGCCUCUCACGGGGUGCAGUGUCCGUUGCUGCAAGUUUACUUUGAACAAAUCAGAGUGCUCUAAACAGGCGUUUCGCUUGAAUGUUCGUGCAUGGAAUAAUAGAAGAGAAUUUCGGGUUCUAUUUUAUUGGUUUUAUAGACUGAGAUAAUGGUUAACAGAGACAAACGGGGGCAUUCGUAUUGCUACGUGAGAGGUGAAAUUCUUGGACC
rnacentral:rRNA from 1 species